GUUCCAUCAGAGUGGUUCGUGGACACUGACAGAAAAUUAUGCUGGUGGCCACCAGCCACAUUCCAAAAUGUGACCAAGGCCGUGAAAGAGGGCACACCACCAGCUCAAAACUGGAUUGUCUGUAAUGUGCGAGUGAUGGGAAAUGCAGCCACUUAUGCAGAGGCCAGGGUAAAGCUACAAUCAAGCUGAGGAUACAUACAUCAGACCUGACUGACACCGAAGAUGUUGUGAUAAAGAGAAAGUAGAUGUUGGUGGUGUAAUAGACAUUAAAAGGGUAAAACAGAGCAAGCAACGAGAAUCAAGUGAUUCAGAGGAGGAACUUCCACCCACUCCCCCAGAAAAACUCCUUGGGCUAGCAACAAAGAAAAUGACCAGAUGGAUCACCAGCCCCACUGCCCAGCGCGUUGCCAGCCCCAC